rnacentral:rRNA from 2 species
UGGUUAAGUGAAUAAGGGCGUACGGUGAAUGCCUUGGCACUAGGAGCCGAUGAAGGACGGGACGAACACCGAUAUGCUUCGGGGAGCUGUAAGUAAGCUUUGAUCCGGAGAUUUCCGAAUGGGGGAACCUCAUUGUUUUUAUCGACAAUGGUCCACUCAGUGAACACAUAGCUGAGUGGAAGGUAGACGUGGUGAACUGAAACAUCUCAGUAGCCACAGGAAGAGAAAGAAAAAUCGAUUUCCCGAGUAGCGGCGAGCGAAACGGAAAGAGGCCAAACCAGCGUGCUUGCAUGCUGGGGUUGUAGGACUGAUGGACGGGAGUGAAUGAGCUAGUCGAACGCCAUGGAAAGGGCGAUCAGAGAGGGUGACAAUCCCGUAGGCGAAAGCUCAGCCACCUCAUUCAGUAUCCUGAGUACGGCGGUACACGUGAAAUUCCGUCGGAAUCCGCCAGGACCAUCUGGCAAGCCUAAAUACUCCCUAGUGACCGAUAGUGAACCAGUACCGUGAGGGAAAGGUGAAAAGCACCCCGGAAGGGGAGUGAAAGAGUACCUGAAACCGUAUGCCUACAAGCAGUCAGAGCCCGUUAAGGGGUGAUGGCGUACUUUUUGUAGAACGGACCGGCGAGUGACGAUAGCAAGCAAGGUUAAGCUGAAGAAGCGGAGCCACAGCGAAAGCGAGUCUGAAGAGGGCGUUGAGUUUGUUGUCGUCGACCCGAAACCAAGUGAUCUACUCAUGUCCAGGCUGAAGGUGUGGUAAAACACACUGGAGGGCCGAACCCACGUCUGUUGAAAAAGGCGGGGAUGAGGUGUGGGUAGCGGUGAAAUUCCAAUCGAACUUGGAGAUAGCUGGUUCUCUCCGAAAUAGCUUUAGGGCUAGCCUCGGAUGAUGACUAUUGGAGGUAGAGCACUGUUUGAUCGAGGGGUCCAUCCUGGAUUACCGACAUCUGAUAAACUCCGAAUGCCAAAUAGUUUAGUCCGGGAGUCAGACUGCGAGUGAUAAGAUCCGUAGUCGAAAGGGAAAGAGCCCAGACCACCAGCUAAGGUCCCAAAGUUUCAGUUAAGUGGAAAAGGAUGUGGGGUUGCUUAGACAACUAGGAUGUUGGCUUAGAAGCAGCCAUCAUUGAAAGAGUGCGUAAUAGCUCACUAGUCGAGUGACCCUGCGCCGAAAAUGUACCGGGGCUAAACUGAACACCGAAGCUGUGGAUCCGUAGGAUGGUAGGAGAGCGUUCUAUAGGCAGAGAAGCAUGAUCGUGAGGACAUGUGGAGCGUAUAGAAGUGAGAAUGCCGGUAUGAGUAGCGAAAGACGGGUGAGAAUCCCGUCCACCGAAUGACUAAGGUUUCCUGGGGAAGGCUCGUCCUCCCAGGGUUAGUCGGGACCUAAGCCGAGACCGAAAGGGAUAGGCGAUGGACAACAGGUUGAGAUUCCUGUACUUGUUUGAUUUGUUUGAGCGAUGGAAGGACACAGAAGGCUAAGCGGAGCGCGGAGAUGGAAAAACGCGUCCAAGCAAUGAGUGAGAAGGUGAGUGAAAGGCUUGCCUCAGACUUCAUGAGUUGUGACGGGGAGGGAAGUUUAGUACCGAAGCCGCCGACGUCACGCUGUCAAGAAAAGUUUCUAGUGAGAAUCAAACAACCCGUACCGCAAACCGACACAGGUAGUCGAGUGGAGAACACUAAGGUGAGCGAGCGAACUCUCGUUAAGGAACUCGGCAAAAUGACCCCGUAACUUCGGGAGAAGGGGUGCUGACCGCAAGGUCAGCCGCAGUGAAUAGGCCCAAGCGACUGUUUAUCAAAAACAUAGGUCUCUGCCAAAUCGAAAGAUGAUGUAUAGAGGCUGACGCCUGCCCGGUGCUGGAAGGUUAAGAGGAAGGGUUAGCGUAUGCGAAGCUCUGAAUUGAAGCCCCAGUAAACGGCGGCCGUAACUAUAACGGUCCUAAGGUAGCGAAAUUCCUUGUCAGGUAAGUUCUGACCCGCACGAAAGGCGUAACGAUUUGGGCACUGUCUCAACGAGAGGCUCGGUGAAAUUGUAGUACCAGUGAAGAUGCUGGUUACCCGCGACAGGACGGAAAGACCCCAUGGAGCUUUACUGUAGGUUGAUAUUGAAUGUUUGUGCCACAUGUACAGGAUAGGUAGGAGCCAUCGAAGUCGGGACGCUAGUCUCGAUGGAGGCACUGGUGGGAUACUACCCUUGUGGGAUGACCAUUCUAACCCGCGACCAUUAGCUGGUCGGGAGACAGUGUCAGUCAGGCAGUUUGACUGGGGCGGUCGCCUCCUAAAGUGUAACGGAGGCGCCCAAAGGUUCCCUCAGAAUGGUUGGAAAUCAUUCGCAGAGUGUAAAGGCAGAAGGGAGCUUGACUGCGAGACCUACAAGUCGAGCAGGGACGAAAGUCGGGCUUAGUGAUCCGGUGGUUCCGCAUGGAAGGGCCAUCGCUCAACGGAUAAAAGCUACCCUGGGGAUAACAGGCUUAUCUCCCCCAAGAGUUCACAUCGACGGGGAGGUUUGGCACCUCGAUGUCGGCUCAUCGCAUCCUGGGGCUGAAGUCGGUCCCAAGGGUUGGGCUGUUCGCCCAUUAAAGCGGUACGCGAGCUGGGUUCAGAACGUCGUGAGACAGUUCGGUCCCUAUCCGUCGCGGGCGUUGGAAAUUUGAGAGGAGCUGUCCUUAGUACGAGAGGACCGGGAUGGACACACCGCUGGUGUACCAGUUGUUCCACCAGGAGCAUGGCUGGGUAGCUAUGUGUGGACGGGAUAAGCGCUGAAAGCAUCUAAGCGUGAAGCCCCCCUCAAGAUGAGAUUUCCCAUACUUUGAAAGUAGUAAGACCCCUGAAAGACGAUCAGGUUGAUAGGUUUGGAGUGGAAGCUUAGCAAUAAGUGGAGCGGACAAAUACUAAUCGGUCGAGGACUUAUCCAAA